CCUGCUUGCCGACCAAGGGCUAUUUGGUCAUUUUAGUCCAGCUGUAUAUUGAAUUGUCUACUAUGUCCCUUGUGACUGUUACUGAAUCCUGAUUAGAAUAGGGAUUUCUAUGGUCAAUUUGCAGUCCACCGCUUCUCACUCUUCACCUUUCUGAUCUUUUUCUUCCUUCAGUUAUACAAGUUUCAGUCCGUUUCCUUUGCGGAUUUGCACCACUUUUGUACUCAUCGGUUCUUGAUGUUGUGUCAUUUUCUUGAACAAAGAGAAAUUGGGGUUUCGGCUGAGUUUCUCUGCCGCCCAAAGUCUCCACAUCGUCUAACCACAAAAGCUGGUUUCUUCUUCUCCAGUUCUAUUUCCGCCAUUAGCUAGAGGAAUAUCUUAUAUUUCGAUUUUAAGGAACUGAAUUAUCGGUUUAUGAAAUUGGAGUUGGUGGUGAUAUCUAAGGCUCUGAAUGCUUCGACAACUUCGUCAAUUGGGUGGUAAAGUGAGUUGCCGUUGAAUUUCCAGAAGAUUAGGAGAAGUAAGGAGAGGUUCUCGGUGGUAAGAGUUAAGCUACGGUGGAGCAAACUGAAACUGAAGGUUUACUAGCUUGUAUGAUAAGAGAGAGGAAGGAAACUAUCAGUAUGAGUAGAUUGACUUCUGCUUAAAUUCUCAUGUCUUGCUGACUACAACAAAUGCUUGUCCUCGCAUUCAUCAGCUGAGGUAAUGCUAAACUUAACUUUUCUACUACACUUGCAACUAUAUGCUGAUUUGUUUUAUUUUUUGAAUGAUACAUGUUCGGGUGUUGUUGUGAAUUAUCUCCAUUGAAGAAAUACGCCAUUAAAUUUUGCUGAAGAUGGAUAAUUUUUCCAUAUAAGACAAAUGAAGCAUUCCGUAGGCAGAUAGACCUUGGAAUGAGGAAAUACUGGAUAAUGUGACUCGAAGCUGUGAAAAGGGAUUGUGCUGCUGUUCUUUUAUCUACAAAAUGGCUUUUUUGCCGUAAACUUAACCUUCGCUCAACUUAAACUACCACUUCUAUGUAAAAAGAACUAAGAAAAUUGAAUAUGAAAGUUGAGCAAGGAAUGACUAAUGUCUUCCUGCCGUCUACUAUUGUUCUUGUAAUAGGUCUUAUGUCAUUGAGCCCGGGCUUGUCUGGCCAAUCCCAUCUAGUUACCUAUAUAUAUGCUCAGCAACAAAUAUUAAAAUGUAAUAACGAGUCAAGUGUCCUCCACGUUUCGCUUGCAAGGUUAUGUUCAAUUGUUCAUAGCAUUAACACCGUCCAC